GACGAAGAACGUAGCAAAAUGCGAUACUUGGUGUGAAUUGCAGAAUCCCGUGAACCAUCGAGUUUUUGAACGCAAGUUGCGCCCGAAGCCUUUUGGCCGAGGGCACGUCUGCCUGGGCGUCACGCAUCGCGUCGCCCCCCACAAUUCUCCGUAAAAGGAACAUGUGUUUUGGGGGCGGAUAUUGGUCUCCCGUGCUCAUGGCGUGGUUGGCCGAAAUAGGAGUCCUUUCGAUGGACGCACGAACUAGUGGUGGUCGUAAAAACCCUCGUCUUUUGUUUCGUGCUGUUGCUCGCAAGGUAAACUCUUUAAAAACCCCAAUGUGUCGUCUCUUGACGACGCUUCGACCGCGACCCCAGGUCAGGCGGGACUACCCGCUGAGUUUAAGCAUAUCAAUAAGCGGAGGA
rnacentral:misc_RNA from 1 species